GGGUGAGUAAUGCCUAGGAAAUUGCCCUGAUGUGGGGGAUAACCAUUGGAAACGAUGGCUAAUACCGCAUAAUACCUACGGGUCAAAGAGGGGGACCUUCGGGCCUCUCGCGUCAGGAUAUGCCUAGGUGGGAUUAGCUAGUUGGUGAGGUAAUGGCUCACCAAGGCGACGAUCCCUAGCUGGUCUGAGAGGAUGAUCAGCCACACUGGAACUGAGACACGGUCCAGACUCCUACGGGAGGCAGCAGUGGGGAAUAUUGCACAAUGGGCGCAAGCCUGAUGCAGCCAUGCCGCGUGUGUGAAGAAGGCCUUCGGGUUGUAAAGCACUUUCAGUCGUGAGGAAGGUAGUGUAGUUAAUAGCUGCAUUAUUUGACGUUAGCGACAGAAGAAGCACCGGCUAACUCCGUGCCAGCAGCCGCGGUAAUACGGAGGGUGCGAGCGUUAAUCGGAAUUACUGGGCGUAAAGCGCAUGCAGGUGGUUUGUUAAGUCAGAUGUGAAAGCCCGGGGCUCAACCUCGGAAUAGCAUUUGAAACUGGCAGACUAGAGUACUGUAGAGGGGGGUAGAAUUUCAGGUGUAGCGGUGAAAUGCGUAGAGAUCUGAAGGAAUACCGGUGGCGAAGGCGGCCCCCUGGACAGAUACUGACACUCAGAUGCGAAAGCGUGGGGAGCAAACAGGAUUAGAUACCCUGGUAGUCCACGCCGUAAACGAUGUCUACUUGGAAGGUUGUGGCCUUGAGCCGUGGCUUUCGGAGCUAACGCGUUAAGUAGACCGCCUGGGGGAGUACGGUCGCAAGAUUAAAACUCAAAUGAAAUUGACGGGGGCCCGCACAAGCGGUGGAACAUGGUGGUUUAAUUCGAUGCAACGCGAAGAACCUUACCUACUCUUGACAUCCAGAGAACUUUCAAGAAAAUGGAUUGGUGGCCUUCGGGAACUCUGAGACAGGUGCUGCAUGGCUGUCGUCAGCUCGUGUUG
rnacentral:rRNA from 1 species